GAGCUAAUCCCAGAAACCCGGUCGUAGUCCGGAUCGUAGUCUGCAACUCGACUGCGUGAAGUCGGAAUCGCUAGUAAUCGCGGAUCAGCUUGCCGCGGUGAAUACGUUCCCGGGUCUUGUACACACCGCCCGUCACACCAUGGGAGCGGGUUCUGCCAGAAGUAGUUAGCCUAACCGCAAGGGGGGCGAUUACCACGGCAGGGUUCGUGACUGGGGUGAAGUCGUAACAAGG
rnacentral:rRNA from 1 species